rnacentral:rRNA from 1 species
CAGCCGCCGCGGUAAUACGAGGGGGGCAAGCGUUGUUCGGAAUUAUUGGGCGUAAAGGGCGCGUAGGCGGUUUGACAAGUCUGAUGUGAAAUCUCUGGGCUCAACCCAGAGUCUGCAUCGGAAACUGUCGAGCUUGAGUAUGGGAGAGGUGAGUGGAAUUUCCGGUGUAGCGGUGAAAUGCGUAGAUAUCGGAAGGAACACCUGUGGCGAAAGCGGCUCACUGGACCAUUACUGACGCUGAGGCGCGAAAGCUAGGGGAGCAAACAGGAUUAGAUACCCCCGUAGUCCCUGUCUCUUAUAA